GACGAACGCUGGCGGCGUGCCUAAUACAUGCAAGUCGAACGAGAGCGACCGGUGCUUGCACUGGUCAAUCUAGUGGCGAACGGGUGAGUAACACGUGGGUAACCUGCCCAUCAGAGGGGGAUAACAUCCGGAAACGGAUGCUAAAACCGCAUAGGUCUUCGAGCCGCAUGGCUUGAAGAGGAAAAGCGGCGCAAGCUUCUGCUGAUGGAUGGACCCGCGGUGCAUUAGCUAGUUGGUGAGGUAACGGCUCACCAAGGCCGUGAUGCAUAGCCGACCUGAGAGGGUGAUCGGCCACAUUGGGACUGAGACACGGCCCAAACUCCUACGGGAGGCAGCAGUAGGGAAUCUUCCGCAAUGGACGCAAGUCUGACGGAGCAACGCCGCGUGAGUGAAGAAGGUUUUCGGAUCGUAAAACUCUGUUGUUAGAGAAGAACAAGUGCUAGAGUAACUGUUAGCGCCUUGACGGUACCUAACCAGAAAGCCACGGCUAACUACGUG
rnacentral:rRNA from 1 species